ACUUGCACCUCACGAGUGUCAGCGUCUCCUCAUCUACAUCAUUCCCUUCCCCUCAGCCCUUAACGUUUCGUCGACGCCGUCUCAUCCUUUCGGGACCCCUGACACGAUAUUUUGCCAAGGCAGGUCUCGGGCACUUCAUGAUGGUGAUAUCCUGAGGUCAGAAGAAGGAACAGGUCUCCAAGCCAGGACCACAGCGCCCCCUGGUGCCCAGGAUGAAUGUCAUCCUGCAUGUGCUGACAGUCACCAGCAUGACUGCUUCUGACCCUGAUGGAGACCAGGCCCUAGGAAUUAUCCACAGCAGCCUCUGCUCCUGUCUACUAAAUGAGGAAACAGGGAGAGGGGAUCAGUGUGGACGCGUGUUACAACAUUCCCUCAUUGCUGGAGACUCAGCACCCGAAUUUGCGUGGGGAGUGGAGCUGUCCUUCCCCACAGGAGCCCUGCUUCAUGGGACCCGCCACUCACCCUGGCAUCUGUGAGAGCAGCUGCAGGGACAGAUGCUCAGGAUUUUUCUCAUUUAGAAGCUUCCACAUUUUUCUGCUCUGUCUCCUGCUGCAUUGCUGUCGUGAGGAUUCUGUUCUCGUGUUUGUCCCUGUGCAGGUGAUCGUGACCGUCUGUCCCAAGGCCACAGAGACUGACUGUGGUUGACUCAGCUCAGCAGUGACCACUGAACCUGCAAGAGGAGAGGAGAAGAGAGAAUCAACGGAAGACAAGGCUGGAAUGAAAGUGUAAGUAACGGAAGUGUGAAUAAGAAAAGAAGAUGAAUACACUGACUUCAUCAAAACUCCAAUCUUUUGUUUUAUAAAACCUCCUCCACAGGAUAAAAGAAACAAGUAGUAAGCAAGAGAAAAGAUUCCAAAGACAUCUCUGAUGACCAGCGAGUGCAGAGAGGAUACUAGGAAAUGUGAUCACACACAGUGAAGACACAACCACUAAGGGAAGGAGACCUAGUAGAACCAGUACAUGUGUGCGGAGGAUGUAGGACCAUGGGAACCAGGAGCAGGAGCUUGCCAUGUGUCUUCUGGAAACGCCAAUGUGACCUGAUUAGGGUGUCCCCAUGUGCUGUCAGAUAGGCUGAAGUAGAUAAUAGGGACCCAAAAGCUUGUGGGGUGAGGAGAAGUGGGGCCUUCACACCUGAGGGAUGGUGUGAAAUUAACCAAACUCUGGAAAGAGCUUGCAGGUCAUUGACGAGGCAAAACCUGUAUUUCCCCCUCCUCUGGUCCUGCGUCAUAUUUCUAGGGUCCCAUGGGUGACUUUCCCCUCUUCAGCUGACACAGAAGGAAGGGGUGCACUUAUUCCAGAAGGGAAGAGGAUUAGAGAGGGUGAGUGAAGUUCACUAGUUCACCUUUGGAGAAUUGGGAAGAGCAGGACCUGGGUGGGCUAAGGUCAGAAAUAUCACUGUUCUGGGUGAUCCAGAAAGAGCCUGGGUUGAGGGAGGGGAAAUCCUGGCAAAGGACCAAGUCUGGGGCCCACAAAUGGAGACAGCUUCUCCCUGACAGUUGCUCCCGCUGCCUGAGGGGGCGCAGCUGCUUCGUAUCAUUGGCAGCUCAGGCACCUUGGUGCUGCUCCCACCUCUCUUUGGGGCUGGUCAGUAACCGCAGGAGAAAACAGUCCAGACUGGUGGAGCUAGAGUGGUCUUUUCCUGAUCUUUGUCCUGGAAUUUUCCUGAUGAUUUCUCAGGUCCUGAGGAUGCAGUGCAGUCAUCUCUUUACUCUCCUGCUCAUGUUUUAGUAGUUGAUAAUAAGAUGAAGAUAUAAUAAUCUGUCAUCAGUGUGGAUACCCCCUGACUCAUGGAAGAUUCCACCACCACUCCAUGAUCUCGGUCCCUACACAUCCCACAGCUUCUCUGUGGCUUGUCAGCAAAGUGCUUGGAGGAAGAGAUGGUUUUUCUUUAUAAAAUGUGCACAGUUGACAUUUGUACAGUAUCCGGGGCCCAGGGAUAACGCCUCACCUGCAGGAACAGACACAGCAGGUGCAGCCCCACUCAGGACUCUGAAGAGGCGUUUCCUGGAGCAUCAGGAAUGAGCCCACCUGACAGUCACCCAAGAUGAGAGAGGGAAGGAGUCUUCAUACUUUUGUACAAUAUCAUAUGUACACAAUGUAUUUUUAUGGAAUAAAAUAAG